ACUCAAAUGAAUUGACGGGGGCCCGCACAAGCGGUGGAACAUGUGGUUUAAUUCGAUGCAACGCGAAGAACCUUACCUACUCUUGAAUCCACGGAACCUUGCAGAAAUGUGAGGGUGCCUUCGGGAACCGUGAGACAGGUGCUGCAUGGCUGUCGUCAGCUCGUGUCGUGAGAUGUUGGGUUAAGUCCCGUAACGAGCGCAACCCUUGUCCUUAGUUACCAGCGAGUCAUGUCGGGGACUUUAAGGAGACUGCCGGUGAUAAACCGGAGGAAGGUGGGGAUGACGUCAAGUCCUCAUGGCCCUUACGAGUAGGGCUACACACGUGUUACAAUGGCCGGUACAGAGGGUCGCCAACCCGCAAGGGGGAGCAAAUCUCAAAAAGCCGGUCGUAGUCCGGAUUGGAGUCUGCAACUCGACUCCAUGAAGUUGGAAUCGCUAGUAAUCGCGGAUCAGCACGCCGCGGUGAAUACGUUCCCGGGCCUUGCACACACCGCCCGU
rnacentral:rRNA from 1 species